AGAUGACCAAGAAGGGCAGAGCAGAGCCCCGUCAGCCACUCCUUGGGCUGGAAGUGACUUCCUCAGUAUGGAUGGCAGCUGUUAACAAGCAGUGGUGGUUUGGCCGGAGGCCUCUGUGGGGCACAGACAUGGCGUGAAGGAUGGCAGAUGGGCGUGCACGCUCGGGAGGACAGGCAGGUGGCAUAGACCUGAGCAGGUGGCGUCGGCGCACGAGAAGGGUGUGUCUGAGACAGGAUGUUUAUCCCAAAGGCCAGGAGUGGACGAGGCGGACGAGUGGCCGUGAGCGAUGGCAGCCGCACUUUUCCUCGCUUGUUUUGAAGGCCAAGCCGGCGGCCUCCUCGGCAGCUGGGGACAGUUGCUUCCUCAGCUUCUGUGUGCCGACUGCCUCACCUGACACACAGCCUGGGCGUGAGAGAAGCCAACCAGGUGCCUGAGCUGACUGACUCCCUCCUCCCUCCAUCCUCCAGUCUCCUCUCUUCCUCCAUCCUCCUGUCUCCUCUCUUCCUCCAUCCUCCUCCCUCCAGUCUCCUCCAUCCGCCCUCCUCCCUCUGCCUUAUCUGGAAUCGGGGUCCUGGUCCUGGGCUAGAGGCAGACCCUGGCCCGGGAGAGGUUCUCAAGGCACUGCGGGAGGGCAGCGUCAUGAUGUCCUGAAGCUUGCCGCGUCCGGUGCUGUCAGCCGGCUGAAGGGAGAGACUGUCACAGCACCCGCAGCUAUGGAAGGUGACGUCCGAAAAUCUGUUAGGCACCUUGAUGUCAGGUUUCCAAGACCAAAGGCAAGAAUAGUCGGACCAAACUUAGGAAGAGUCAGAGAAACUGAGCGUGACCUAGAAGAGGCAGAUGGCCCUUCCCCUCCUCUCCUGCUGAUUGUUCUGUCACACACACGACGUGAAAUCCACACUGGCCUGUGAAGACUGAGGGCAGGUCUUGGAUGUGCCGCCCUCACAUGGCCCAGGAGCGCCAGCAGCUUGGGGGCCACCACAGGCCCCAGGGCCUCUUUACUCUCACGGGUUCAGCGGACGAUAAAACUUCCCGGGGAAGGAGUAAAGGACGAUCCAAAACCUGAACUGAAAAAGUAUGAAAACCAUUUCAUUUCCCUCGGGUUCUCCCCACUAGGUCUGCAGUGCCUUGGGGGUGACUGAUGGCCCUCAGUGAGAC
rnacentral:lncRNA from 1 species